AGUAAAAGUCGUAACAAGGUUUCCGUAGGUGAACCUGCGGAAGGAUCAUUACCUAGAGUUUGUAGACUUCGGUCUGCUACCUCUUACCCAUGUCUUUUGAGUACCUUCGUUUCCUCGGCGGGUCCGCCCGCCGAUUGGACAACAUUCAAACCCUUUGCAGUUGCAAUCAGCGUCUGAAAAAACAUAAUAGUUACAACUUUCAACAACGGAUCUCUUGGUUCUGGCAUCGAUGAAGAACGCAGCGAAAUGCGAUAAGUAGUGUGAAUUGCAGAAUUCAGUGAAUCAUCGAAUCUUUGAACGCACAUUGCGCCCCUUGGUAUUCCAUGGGGCAUGCCUGUUCGAGCGUCAUUUGUACCUUCAAGCUCUGCUUGGUGUUGGGUGUUUGUCUCGCCUCUGCGUGUAGACUCGCCUUAAAACAAUUGGCAGCCGGCGUAUUGAUUUCGGAGCGCAGUACAUCUCGCGCUUUGCACUCAUAACGACGACGUCCAAAAGUACAUUUUUACACUCUUGACCUCGGAUCAGGUAGGGAUACCCGCUGAACUUAAGCAUAUCAAUAAGCGGAGGAAAAGAAACCAACAGGGAUUGCCCUAGUAACG
rnacentral:rRNA from 1 species